GACGAACGCUGGCGGCGUGCCUAAUACAUGCAAGUCGAGCGAGCGGAACCAGCAGAUCUGCUUCGGCAGUGACGCUGGGAAAGCGAGCGGCGGAUGGGUGAGUAACACGUGGGGAACCUGCCCCAAAGUCUGGGAUACCACUUGGAAACAGGUGCUAAUACCGGAUAAGAAAGCAGAUCGCAUGAUCAGCUUUUAAAAGGCGGCGUAAGCUGUCGCUAUGGGAUGGCCCCGCGGUGCAUUAGCUAGUUGGUAGAGUAACGGCCUACCAAGGCAAUGAUGCAUAGCCGAGUUGAGAGACUGAUCGGCCACAUUGGGACUGAGACACGGCCCAAACUCCUACGGGAGGCAGCAGUAGGGAAUCUUCCACAAUGGACGCAAGUCUGAUGGAGCAACGCCGCGUGAGUGAAGAAGGUUUUCGGAUCGUAAAGCUCUGUUGUUGGUGAAGAAGGAUAGAGGUAGUAACUGGCCUUUAUUUGACGUAAUCAACCAGAAAGUC
rnacentral:rRNA from 1 species